rnacentral:rRNA from 1 species
AACGGACGCUGGCGGCAGGCUUAACACGUGCAAGUCGAACGGGUGUAGCAAUACAUCAGUGGCAGACGGGUGAGUAACACGUGGGAACCUUCCUAGGGGUACGGAACAACUCAGGGAAACUUGAGCUAAUACCGUAUACGUCCGUGAGGAGAAAGAUUUAUCGCCCUUAGACGGGCCCGCGUCGGAUUAGCUAGUUGGUGGGGUAUCGGCCUACCAAAGCGACGAUCCGUAGCUGAUCUUAGAGGAUGAUCAGCCACACUGGGACUGAGACACGGCCCAGACUCCUACGGGAGGCAGCAGUGGGGAAUCUUGGAAAAUGGGCGCAAGCCUGUUCCAGCCAUGCCGCGUGAGUGAAGAAGGUCUUCGGAUUGUAAAGCUCUUUUGCCAGGGACGAUAAUGACGGUACCUGGAGAAUAAGCCCCGGCAAACUUCGUGCCAGCAGCCGCAGUAAAAC